UGAGGAAUAUUGGUCAAUGGGCGCAAGCCUGACCCAGCAACGCCGCGUGAAGGAAGAAGGCUUUCGGUUGUAAACUUCUUUUCUCAGGGACGAAGCAAGUGACGGUACCUGAGGAAUAAGCCACGGCUAACUACGUGCCAGCAGCCGNGGUAAUCGAGAUCU
rnacentral:rRNA from 1 species